UUCUGGUGGCCUAGUGGUUAGAGCGUCCGCCUCAGAUGCGACAGGUCGUCGGUUCGAUACCCGAUCGAGUCAU